UGCAAGUCGAGCGGGCACUUUCGGGUGUCAGCGGCGGACGGGUGAGUAACGCGUGGGAACGUGCCCUCUGGUUCGGAAUAACUCAGGGAAACUUGAGCUAAUACCGGAUACGCCCUUUUGGGGAAAGGCUUGCUGCCGGAGGAUCGGCCCGCGUCUGAUUAGCUAGUUGGUGAGGUAACGGCUCACCAAGGCGACGAUCAGUAGCUGGUCUGAGAGGAUGAUCAGCCACACUGGGACUGAGACACGGCCCAGACUCCUACGGGAGGCAGCAGUGGGGAAUAUUGGACAAUGGGCGCAAGCCUGAUCCAGCCAUGCCGCGUGAGUGAUGAAGGCCUUAGGGUUGUAAAGCUCUUUUAUCCGGGACGAUAAUGACGGUACCGGAGGAAUAAGCCCCGGCUAACUUCGUGCCAGCAGCCGCGGUAAUACGAAGGGGGCUAGCGUUGCUCGGAAUCACUGGGCGUAAAGGGCGCGUAGGCGGCGUUUUAAGUCGGGGGUGAAAGCCUGUGGCUCAACCACAGAAUGGCCUUCGAUACUGGGACGCUUGAGUAUGGUAGAGGUUGGUGGAACUGCGAGUGUAGAGGUGAAAUUCGUAGAUAUUCGCAAGAACACCGGUGGCGAAGGCGGCCAACUG
rnacentral:rRNA from 1 species